rnacentral:lncRNA from 1 species
GUGCAAUUAUUAUUAUCAGCAUCUAGAAAGCAUCACACGGAGCAUUGACCUUCAUGCUGCAUUGUUCUUACUGGAUCCUCCUAUCCGUGAACAUUAUGCCAAGUACCAAUACAGCAUCAAGUCAUUUCUGGAUGGAAAGUUUUCAAACUUCUUCAUUUGGAGUUACUUAAACGUGAGGGUGUUGGGAUUUUUGAGGAUGCCUUCCCUAUGUGGAUUAUUACAGUUUGAUGACUGAUUCUCUGCCUCAAAGAAGAUUAUUUUGCUAUCUGGAAACUCAUGCCCACCUCUUUGACUUCGGGUCAAAAUUGCUUUCCUCACAGUCUGACUGGGAAAGUUGUAAAACAUUAGAAUGUCCUUCAGCGGUGGGCUGUGGAAUGUCAUUACUCUCAGGUGACUACGGAAGCAUUAGCACCCUGCAUGCUCAGGUGGCCCCCACUCCUACGGACACAGCUCUUUCACCUAUACGGUUUUCUUCUGUAUUUCCUGAUAUAAGUCUCCCCCUGACCCCACUGGAAUGCAUGGAUUUGCAUUUGUUCUUCCAGGAGUGUCUAACUGGAUGUCCUCUGCAAAUUCAUCAAAUGUGCCAUCUUUUCCAUCAUGUGGUCAUCCCUGGGAUCAUCAUCGAACAUCGUUCUCCACCACUCUGGUCCAUGGAUGGUUGUUCUCUUUUGUCCAUUCCAUCAAAUGUCCUGAACACUGUCAGAAGAGGGAAAAGGCUAAUGGAGCUGUUAAGUCUAAGUAUGACUGCCAAGAUGAAUCCAAAAAAGCCAAAGAGCCUGAGCAUGUCAGACCUUCCUGCAGCCUGCCACACACACUUAAAACCCCAGGGAAAUGAGUGCGGCUCAGGAGGGGGGAAGAGCGCCAACCAGGUACUGAACAUGUGAUAAAACAGAUGCUUCUGUUGUUAAAACUGGGCCUCUUUUCCAUCCAUUGAAAAUAUUUGUAGUUUUAAGGAGAAUUUUUCCUUGCAAAAUGGACAGAGCCCUAAUAUGAAUUAAUAAUGGCCCUGUUGGAACUUUUGGAUUUGGACUAUAUUGUGUGGCCUCCUGGUGGAUGUAAUAAAUAGGAAUCAGUGUGCGGUAGGACAGACUUCAUGAACUGGUGGCCCACAGAACCUGAUCUAACCCUCAGAUAUGUCGUGUUUGCCCAUACAAGGAAGUGCGUAUGUGUAUGUAUUUAAAGAACUAGCUGCCAACAUUAAAAUGUAUGUGUGUGUAUUAAUUUGGUGAAUUUUUCCAAAGAAACUGGAAUAUCUGGUUUCCCUGGAACUGUAUCUCCUGUGGUGAAUAUCAGUUGAGGCUAAGUAACUGACUACCUGAUACCCAUCCUGAGUGGGCAAGGUGCUGCAAAGUUUCCAGUUCCCUGGGGUCUUCUCACCCCCUCAGAGUUGGUUCUUACUUGGCCUCUGCAGGCAAAGUUUGUGAGAGAACUUGACAGAAGCUACGGAAUGGAGAGGAACUGGGUUUGACUCUUAGCUUCAUCACCAGCUUUCAUAUGGGCAAGUUACUUAACUUUCUGACUCUUAGUUUCCUCAUGUGUCAGAGGGGAAAAUGGGUCUUCACUUCACACAGUUGCUGGGAAGGGUAUUAAGAGUAUGAAGUGAGGUAGUAUGCCUGACGCCCUUAAAACUGGCUGUGUCGCGAUCCCUGGGUGGCACAGCAGUUUGGCGCCUGCCUUUGGCCCAGGGCGCGAUCCUGGAAACCCGGGAUCGAAUCCCACAUCAGGCUCCUGGUGCAUGGAGCCUGCUUCUCCCUCUGCCUAUGUCUCUGCCUCUCUCUCUCUCUCUGUGACUAUCAUAAAUAAAUAAAAAAAAAAGUCUUUAAAAAAAAAAAAACUGGCUGUGUCCAUCGCUGGUAUGACUGCUAUAUACAUGAGUUGUUGUUACUAUAUUUUUCAGUUGCCAAGUAUCACAAGAGAGCUGAUACCAAUUCUUUGAAGUCAUGUUGAUCAUGUUGCAAAGUUGGAUACACUUUUCUACUACUUAGGACAGUAGGGGGACCUGUGUCUGGCCUUCCCGUAUUUCUUUUUUUAUCUUGCAGUAUAAAAUUGAAAGUGUCUUUAAGAAAAUAAUACAAUAGAGACUGCUCCUAAGAGUGGCAUUGUCCGUAGAGGGGAAUCAUUUAUUUAUUUAUCUGUUUGUUUGUAUAUUUGUUUAUUUAUUUUUAUUUUUUAAAAAGAUUUUAUUUAUUUAUGAGAGAGAGACAGAGACAGAGACACAGGCAGAGGGAGAAGCAGGCUCCAUGCCGGGAGCCUGACGUGGGACUCGAUCCCAGGACUCCAGGAUCAUGCCUGGAGCUGAAGGAAGGUGAUCAACCGCUGAGCUACUCAGGCAUCCGAGGGGGAACCUUUUAUAAUUUAGUUCAUGUUAAGUAGACACUUGGUUGUGGAGUUUUUGUUGUUGUUGUGGUUAUUGUUGUUGUUGUUGCCUGAGUCAUGACUUUGUAAUUUUAGAUUUGUGCUCCUGGAAUUUGCAUGGAGGGAGAGGUACAGAAAUGAGAAUACUCUAUCAAUAUUCUCUUUUUAAAAAAAAAUAUUUUAUUUAUUUAUCCAUGAGAGACACACUGAGAGAGAGAGAGAGAGGAAGCAGGCUCCAUGCAGGAAGCCCGAUGUGGGACUUGAUCCGAGGACCCCAGGAUCACGACCUGAGCCAAAGAGAGACACACAACCGCUGAGCUACCCAGAUGCCCCAAUUAAUAUAUUUUCUUAAAAGUGGAAGUUAAAUUUAAUUUUGAUUUGGAUUGAAGUGGAUUGAAAGCAGUCUUUUAUCAGCAUUCUAUGCUCCAAUUCUUUAAGGUUUCAAAGGACUUUUUCCCCUAUGUUAUUAUAUUCAAUUGGUAUCUUUUCUAAUGCCUGAUCUUUGACAUCUGUCUGAGAGUUCCAGCACACAUUUGGCCACACCAGGUGGGGGGGUGACUUCCUGGUUAUUAUAUGUGUGGUGAAGAAAUACAAGGUUUUCCGCUUAUUUUUCUUCUUCCUGCAAUGAUGGGUUUCCGUUAGAUGUGGAUAUUUCCCUUAAAGGCAUACACUCGUCUCAAAAUGGUGAAGGAUGACAACAGUGCAGUAAUUUCUUCUUUCAUUUUGUGAAGGUGUCUGGAAAACUCUUAUGUGCUCCAUUGAAAAGCUUCUUAGAAAAAAGAAGGCAAGGUGGUUAGAAAAAUGUCAAGGCGGUUCUGGGACCAGUAGGAGAAAACAGAUGUAAGAGGUGAAAAAUGAUUUGUGAUCAGCUCAGUUUCUAGAGUCCAAAAAUCAAACCACAUGGCGUAUGUUUGUCUUCAACCCACCUAGUGUGAGUGAAUGUCAUUAUUGGGAUGAAAGUCCCUGAACAGAAGAAAAUGAGAGGGACAGAAGGUUAUUUUUAGAUCCCUGCUUUAAAAACAUUUUAGGAGUAGAAGUGUAAGUCUGCCUCAGGUCCUUGAGCUUGGGCCCUGACCCAGAUUUGGUUCUGAGUGACCUCUUAGCCUUACUUCUUGCUCCCACCUCCAUCUGACCCUGUUGAGGAGGCAAAGAGAGGAAAGAGAAAGGCUGAAAAUUGGAGAUGAAGAAAAUGGUGAUUUUCUGCCCUUUAUCAACUUUUCAUCCAAAUCACCCACAAGUAUUGUGACAUGUUGAAAAUCCAAGGAAAUAUUCAGGCUGAUUCUUAGGAACUUGUCAGUAUUGCAGUUAUACAAACAUGGCAAUUUUACAUAGCUCAACUAAAUAAAAUUAUUAUGUUUUUGUCAGCAUCACUCUAGGUCCUUUGACUUGGGGUAAGGAUGGUUUAAAAAGCCAGAAAUGUUCUGUCAUCCAAUUGGUGAUUUUUUUGUUUUGUUUUCUUUUGUUUGGGCAUAUACUUGGCUAGAAUAUAUAGGUAUGUUCUGCUUGGAUUUUUUCUGUUACCAUUUUUUCCCUAAAAUGACAGUUAUUGCCUUAAAUCUCAUAGAAGAAAGCCUGAAAGGAGUACACAGCAUGAGGCAAUUGAAGCUAGUGGAGUGUUGUCAGAUUACCCAUCUGGGGACAUACGUGGCGGAUGGUUUGGCUGGGGGUGGGGGUACCAAGAUCCAAAAUUGGAUUUUUCUCUUAGCAGGCUUCUAUUUUGAAAACAGAAAUGGAUGUGAAAAGAUGAAAAGCUACCUACGUGGACAGUGAUCUAUCACAACCUGUUCAAAGGAUAGAUUGAGUCUCUUCUAGGGUUAUGAGGUUUGCUCAGGUAGGCAUUCUCUGCCCAACUCAUCCCCCGGUUUUGUGGGUCAGAACAAUUCAAGGAAUACUCUUACGGUUUGAGCAACACACCACUUCACUUAGUCGAGUAAAAUGAAGAGUCUCUAAGAAGUCCUGGAUGUCGUGCCAUCAGUGGUCUGAUGGUGGUGGUGGGGGCGGUGGUGGUAUGUGUGUGUGAUUCGUGGUGGAAGGUUUCUGCAGAGUGCGACAGAUGCUUCCUCUGCUUGCUUGUUUCCUGG